GACGAACGCUGGCGGCGUGCUUAACACAUGCAAGUCGAACGGAAAGGCCCUGCUUUCGUGGGGUGCUCGAGUGGCGAACGGGUGAGUAACACGUGAGUAACCUUCCCUUUACUUUGGGAUAACUUCAGGAAGCUGGUGCUAAUACCUGAUAGGAGCUCCUGCUGCAUGGUGGGGGUUGGAAAGCUUCGGCGGAUGGGGAUGGACUCGCGGGUUAUUAGCUUGUUGGUGGGGUAGUGGCUUACCAAGGCAUUGAAGGGUAGCCGGCCUGAGAGGGGAAACAGGCACAUGGGGACUGAGGGACGGACCAGAGUCGAACGGGAGGCAGCAGGGGGGAAUAUUGCACAAUGGGCGGAAGCCUGAUGAAGAAACGCCGGGAGCGGGAUGAAGGCCUUGGGGUUGGAAACCGCUUUCGCCUGUGACGAAGCGGGAGUGACGUUAAUGGGUAAAGAAGCACCGGCUAACUACGUG
rnacentral:rRNA from 1 species